rnacentral:rRNA from 1 species
UACGUAGGUGGCAAGCGUUGUCCGGAAUUAUUGGGCGUAAAGAGCGCGUAGGCGGCCUUUUAAGUCUGAUGUGAAAGCCCACGGCUCAACCGUGGAAGGUCAUUGGAAACUGAAGGGCUUGAGUACAGAAGAGGAAAGCGGAAUUCCACGUGUAGCGGUGAAAUGCGUAGAGAUGUGGAGGAACACCAGUGGCGAAGGCGGCUUUCUGGUCUGUAACUGACGCUGAGGCGCGAAAGCGUGGGGAGCAAACAGG